rnacentral:rRNA from 1 species
CCGCGAAUCGCCCUUCGGGGUGCAGCAGGCGCGAAAACUUUACAAUGCCGGCAACGGCGAUAAGGGGACCUCGAGUGCCAGGUUACAAAUCUGGCUGUCGAGAUGCCUAAAAAGCAUUUCAUAGCAAGGGCCGGGCAAGACCGGUGCCAGCCGCCGCGGUAACACCGGCGGCUCGAGUGGUAACCGUUAUUAUUGGGUCUAAAGGGUCUGUAGCCGGCCGGAUAAGUCUCUUGGGAAAUCCAGCAGCUCAACUGUUGGGCUUUCAGGAGAUACUGUCUGGCUCGAGGCCGGGAGAGGUGAGAGGUACUUCAGGGGUAGGGGUGAAAUCUUGUAAUCCUUGAAGGACCACCAGUGGCGAAGGCGUCUCACCAGAACGGACCUGACGGCAAGGGACGAAAGCUAGGGGCACGAACCGGAUUAGAUACCCGGGUAGUCCUAGCCGUAAACGAUACUCGCUAGGUGUCGGCCACGGUGCGACCGUUGUCGGUGCCGUAGGGAAGCCGUGAAGCGAGCCACCUGGGAAGUACGGCCGCAAGGCUGAAACUUAAAGGAAUUGGCGGGGGAGCAC